AGAGGUGAUUAAAUGUGUUCUGA
rnacentral:miRNA from 1 species